rfam:Paenibacillus larvae subsp. larvae DSM 25430, complete genome.
GCUAGUCUCCGUUAGGUGAGGCUCCUGUAUAGAGAAAUGCUACUGCCCAAAAAUGUCGAGAGACGCCAAUGGGUCAACAGGAAUGGUCGAAAAGAAGGCCCCUCUUAAUGUAGCUGGUUUUAAACCUAUGCUGUACAGUGCUAAAACUCAACGAAGGAGAGGUUA